rnacentral:rRNA from 1 species
GGCCUGGGCUGCCUAUACAUGCAAGUCGAGCGGACAGAAGGGAGCUUGCUCCCGGAUGUUAGCGGCGGACGGGUGAGUAACACGUGGGUAACCUGCCUGUAAGACUGGGAUAACUCCGGGAAACCGGAGCUAAUACCGGAUAGUUCCUUGAACCGCAUGGUUCAAGGAUGAAAGACGGUUUCGGCUGUCACUUACAGAUGGACCCGCGGCGCAUUAGCUAGUUGGUGAGGUAACGGCUCACCAAGGCGACGAUGCGUAGCCGACCUGAGAGGGUGAUCGGCCACACUGGGACUGAGACACGGCCCAGACUCCUACGGGAGGCAGCAGUAGGGAAUCUUCCGCAAUGGACGAAAGUCUGACGGAGCAACGCCGCGUGAGUGAUGAAGGUUUUCGGAUCGUAAAGCUCUGUUGUUAGGGAAGAACAAGUGCAAGAGUAACUGCUUGCACCUUGACGGUACCUAACCAGAAAGCCACGGCUAACUACGUGCCAGCAGCCGCGGUAAUACGUAGGUGGCAAGCGUUGUCCGGAAUUAUUGGGCGUAAAGGGCUCGCAGGCGGUUUCUUAAGUCUGAUGUGAAAGCCCCCGGCUCAACCGGGGAGGGUCAUUGGAAACUGGGAAACUUGAGUGCAGAAGAGGAGAGUGGAAUUCCACGUGUAGCGGUGAAAUGCGUAGAGAUGUGGAGGAACACCAGUGGCGAAGGCGACUCUCUGGUCUGUAACUGACGCUGAGGAGCGAAAGCGUGGGGAGCGAACAGGAUUAGAUACCCUGGUAGUCCACGCCGUAAACGAUGAGUGCUAAGUGUUAGGGGGUUUCCGCCCCUUAGUGCUGCAGCUAACGCAUUAAGCACUCCGCCUGGGGAGUACGGUCGCAAGACUGAAACUCAAAGGAAUUGACGGGGGCCCGCACAAGCGGUGGAGCAUGUGGUUUAAUUCGAAGCAACGCGAAGAACCUUACCAGGUCUUGACAUCCUCUGACAACCCUAGAGAUAGGGCUUUCCCUUCGGGGACAGAGUGACAGGUGGUGCAUGGUUGUCUUCACCUCGUGUCGUGAGAUGUUGGGUUAAGUCCCGCAACGAGCGCAACCCUUGAUCUUAUUUGCCACCAUUCAGUUGGGCACUCUAAGGUGACUGCCGGUGACAACCGGAAGAAGGUGGGAAUAACUUCCAAUCAUCAUGCCCCUUAUGACCUGGGCUACCACGUGCUACAUGGACAAAACAAAGGGCUCCAAACCCCAG